rnacentral:rRNA from 1 species
GGGUCGGUUCGGCCGGAUUUUACACANGUGUUGCAUGGCUGUCGUCAGCUCGUGUCGUGAGAUGUUGGGUUAAGUCCCGCAACGAGCGCAACCCUCAUCCUUAGUUGCUAUCAGGUAAUGCUGAGUACUUUAAGGAAACUGCCAGUGAUAAGCUGGAGGAAGGUGGGGAUGAUGUCAAGUCAUCAUGGCCUUUAUGGAGUGGGCUACACACGUGCUACAAUGGUGUCUACAAUGGGCUGCAAGGUGCGCAAGCCUAAGCUAAUCCCUAAAAGACAUCUCAGUUCGGAUUGUACUCUGCAACUCGAGUACAUGAAGUUGGAAUCGCUAGUAAUCGUGGAUCAGCAUGCCACGGUGAAUACGUUCUCGGGUCUUGUACACACUGCCCGUCACGCCAUGG